GAAGAGAGAGGCUGCCAGGUUCUCCUCGGGUGGUUACGUGACAAAUGCCUUCCAUGCUGUUUGUCACCAGUCCACAUGCCAGUGCAGGCAGCCAAGUGGUUUUCUUCCCCAGGGGUGAGAUGUUUGAGCAACAAGCAGAGUGGAGGCGGGACUCAAGUUCUCUGGAGGUGUGUGAGCUCGGCCUCAGUUCUCUAAUUGGACAUGGAGAAGUUGAACCAAUCUCAUCUCCAAGCACCCUCCAGCUCCAAGCUUC